rnacentral:lncRNA from 1 species
UGACUCACAAGAUUUCAAAGAAACUAUAGGAAUUGGUUCUUUCCAUGCAAUGGAAGAAGAGAUUCUCAGUGUCCAUUCUAUGGUAUUAGAUUCUAAAGUAUACUCUCUUGCUCUUUGCUUUUUUGCUUAUGGUAUCGAUAAAGAAGAGCUGAGCCAAGAAAAAUAUAUAUAGCGCCUUUAAAGAAUAAAGAUUCACCCUCUUGAGUGUGAGCUUGACAACACAUGCUUUAUGAAUACUAUCUUGCAAUGCUUUGUGGUGUUUGGAAUUAGUUGUUUCAGGUUUCAAGGUCAGUGCAGUAGCUUGGAACCAAUCUUUUCUUCUCAAUGACAACAAGAAUCUACACAUUCUUUCCAUUCACAAAAAUUCAUCUCAAUAUUCUUACCAAUCCAAAAAGAUAUUUUCUUUCUUCUUUGUUUUUGAAUUCGAUCAAUGGCUUCUGUGCCAGAAGUUUCUGAAAUGUCCUCUCUGUUUGAAAGAUUAGUGAGAAACAAAGACAUGUCAAUGUUCUUGUCUUUCAUCCUUGGUUUUUCAGGGAGAAAUAACGAAGACCCAGAUCAGGAAAAUGAAGAUAAUGAACGUUCCCAGAGUCGAAGAAUCAUCUUAGUGAACCUCUUUCAUCUAUUACCUCAAAUUAUUUCUCAUUUCUUUAUUACUCUAGUUUAUUUACCCUCUCAUUAAACAUACAACAUUAUAGUGUGUAAUUUAUUAAGAUUAAGGUUCAUCUCAUUUCUCUCUUUCAUCCAUUAUGAUUGGUUUGCUUAUGUCAAAAAUAUGGUUAAACGUUGAUUGAAAUUGCUUAUGCCAAAUGGUGGUUAAACAUCAAUAUUGCUUCAGGUUCAGAUUUCAAGACUGAGAGACGAAGAUUCACUCACCAGCAAGAUGAGGUAUUAGAGUAUAUGUGGUGUUCAUCACAAUCAUUUCAAGCUUGGAAUGCUUGACACAUUCCAACUUGAGGGAGAAUG